rnacentral:rRNA from 1 species
CGGCGGACGGGUGAGUAACACGUGGAUAACCUACCUAUAAGACUGGGAUAACUUCGGGAAACCGGAGCUAAUACCGGAUAAUAUAUUGAACCGCAUGGUUCAAUAGUGAAAGACGGUUUUGCUGUCACUUAUAGAUGGAUCCGCGCCGCAUUAGCUAGUUGGUAAGGUAACGGCUUACCAAGGCAACGAUGCGUAGCCGACCUGAGAGGGUGAUCGGCCGCACUGGAACUGAGACACGGUCCAGACUCCUACGGGAGGCAGCAGGA